AGAGUUUGAUCAUGGCUCAGGACGAACGCUGGCGGCGUGCUUAACACAUGCAAGUCGAACGAGAUCCAUUCGGUAGCAAUACUGAUGAAGAUCUAGUGGCGAACGGGUGCGUAACACGUGAGGAACUUGUCCCGGUCUCUGGGAUAACAGUUGGAAACGACUGCUAAUACCGGAUGACGUCGGAACUUCGCAUGGAGUACUGACGAAAGGGUUACUGGAUCGGGAGAGCCUCGCGGCCUAUCAGCUUGUUGGUGGGGUAAUGGCCUACCAAGGCAUCGACGGGUAGCUGGUCUGAGAGGAUGAUCAGCCACACUGGGACUGAGACACGGCCCAGACUCCUACGGGAGGCAGCAGUGGGGAAUCUUGCACAAUGGGCGAAAGCCUGAUGCAGCAACGCCGCGUGCGGGAAGAAGGCCCUCGGGUUGUAAACCGCUUUCAGAAGGAACGAAACUGACGGUACUUUCAGAAGAAGGUGCGGCCAACUACGUGCCAGCAGCCGCGGUGACACGUAGGCACCAAGCGUUGUCCGGAUUUAUUGGGCGUAAAGAGCUCGUAGGCGGUUCAGUAAGUCGGGUGUGAAAACUUUGGGCUUAACCCAAAGCGUGCAUCUGAUACUGCUGUGACUUGAGUUCGGUAGGGGAGUGGGGAAUUCCUAGUGUAGCGGUGAAAUGCGCAGAUAUUAGGAGGAACACCGGUGGCGAAGGCGCCACUCUGGGCCGAAACUGACGCUGAGGAGCGAAAGCAUGGGUAGCAAACAGGAUUAGAUACCCUAGUAGUCC
rnacentral:rRNA from 1 species